UUAGGUUGGUUAUGUUAUAUAAGAUUUAAAAGGGUAGUCAAAACCAGAAGUUUAGUUUGAAACCGCGAUACUCGUUGGCGCUCGAGUUGAGUUGAAUCGAGUCAAGUACGAGACACUGAGAAUGGCCUUACUGUAGAAGUCGAAAUAAGUAUCUGUCAAAGGUACAACCAAGUGGUGGAAUUAAAUGGAAUUGUACGAACUCGUCUUAUGGCAAGUAACUUUGUACAAUACGGCAAUAUUCUGAAAAUUCCAGAUUUUGAGAUAUUUAACCUAUCAGUUUAUUUCUUAUACACUAGCGCCGCUAAGCGAUUGUGUUUAAAACUAUACUUGCUUGCAUCAUGACGGUUUUCACCACCCGAACAACUUUGUGGAAUACGGCAAUAUUCUAAAAAAAUCAGUUUUCGAAAUAUCUAACCUAGCAGGUUAUUUCCAAUACACUAGCGCCGCCAAGCGGUUGUAUUAUUAACUAAACUUGCUUUCGUCAUGAUGGUUUUAAUCAUCCGAACAACUUUGUAGAAGACGGCAAUAUUCUUAAGAUUUCAACUAUCGAAAUAUCUAACCUUUUAGGUUAUUUCCAAUUCACUAGCGCCGCCAAGCGGUUGUAUUUCAAAUUAAACUUGUU